rnacentral:rRNA from 1 species
AAGCCAUGCGAGUUGGGAGGGGUAAGCCCUCGGCAUAUUGCUCAGUAACACGCGGAUAACCUGCCCUUGGGUUUGGGAUAACCCCGGGAAACUGGGACUAAUACCGGAUAGAUCAAAGAAACUGGAAUGUUCUUUGUUCGAAAGCUCCGGCGCCCAAGGAUGGGUCUGCGGCCUAUCAGGUAGUAGUGGGUGUAACGUACCUACUAGCCUACGACGGGUAAGGGUUGUGAGAGCAAGAGCCCUGAGAUGGAUUCUGAGACAUGAAUCCAGGCCCUACGGGGUGCAGCAGGCGCGAAAACUUUACACUGCGGGAAACCGCGAUAAGGGGACCCCGAGUGCCAGCACCUAGUGCUGGCUGUCCAGCUGUUCAAAAAACAGUUGUUAGCAAGGGCCGGGCAAGACCGGUGCCAGCCGCCGCGGUAACACCGGCGGCCCGAGUGGUAGCCGUUAUUAUUGGGUUUAAAGGGUCCGUAGCCGGCUUAUUAAGUCUCUUGGGAAAUCUGGCGACUCAAUCGUCAGGCGUUCAAGAGAUACUGGUAGGCUUGGGACCGGGAGAGGUGGGAGGUACUCCAGGGGUAGGGGUGAAAUCUCGUAAUCCUUGGGGGACCACCGAUGGCGAAGGCAUCCCACCAGAACGGGUCCGACGGUGAGGGACGAAAGCUGGGGGCACGAACCGGAUUAGAUACCCGGGUAGUCCCAGCUGUAAACGAUGCUCGCUAGGUGUCAGGUGCGGUGCGACCGCAUCUGGUGCCGUAGUGAAAACUUGAAGCGAGUCACCUGGGAAGUACGGUCGCUAGGCUGAAACUUAAAGGAAUUGGCGGGGGGGCACUACAACGGGUGGAGCCUGCGGU